CGUGAAAUGUGAAGCAGCUGAGGAAACAAACUCUCUCAUUUUCCACAGUAUUUUUACAACAACACAUCAUACAACAAAGGAUAUGAUAUGUUUAUCUCUAGAUGCUUUCCUGAAUCUAGAAUGCUGCGUGGAGCUGUAGACAACUCACUAAUACCAGACAGCUGCCAGAAGGGAAGGAAUUCAAUGAGGAGAAGCAAAGUAUCGCUCUCUCUCCUAUGACAAGUUUACUUUUUGGACUGCCCCCACAGGACUCUGAUUAUCUUCCCAGAGGAAGAGCCUACAAGUGCAGAAGAGAAUCUCCAGUAAACUGAGAAGACGUUGGGGUGUGGGGAAAUAAGAUAAGUUGCUCUGGUCCUAGCCUCUUAAGCCAGUGCAAACUAAACGAGGAAGUGGGAAAUAUACAUCCCCAUUUUCUACAGAGAAUGCUUGUAAGAAGUUGAUGUACAUUGACCUUUCACAGCACCUCAUAUUGCACAUUUGCUAGGCAGUCACCUAUACAUGCAGUUUGAGCAUACAGAUUAACAGUUCACCUCCUUCCAUGUUUCAGAGCCACAAGUACAUUAAUAAAGGAG
rnacentral:lncRNA from 1 species